AUUUCUCUUCUGCAGGAAACGCUCAGAGCCAAAUGCAAGGUGCACUUAGGUGCCACCUCCCAGAGGUCUGAGCACCAUGCUGAUGUCUUCUGUCUCCAUAGCUCAAAAACUAGUGCUAUAAAGUGGAGCAAGACUUGGUGUUCACAGACACCCUCAGCCCAGGUGGUUGUUCAUUUGAUGAGCACUACAGUAAUUGUGGUUAUAGUGUGGCCUUGGGAACCAAUGGAUUUACCUGGGAGCAGAUCAAUACCUGGGAAAAGCCAACAAUGGAUCCUGCUGUCCCAACCGGUGCAGAUCUGAAUUCCAAACCAGGAAGUUGGAUGUUCUGCAAACAUUGUGCUCUUCUUCUAAAUCCUGUCCUUCUUAUCC
rnacentral:lncRNA from 1 species